GAGGGUAUAGCUCAGUGGUAGAGUGUGUGCCUAGCAUGCACGAGGUCCAGGGUUCAAUUCCCAGUACUGCCA
rnacentral:tRNA from 1 species